UGUAGGAGAACGUGGGCAGGACGGCGGCCAGGAGCCUCAUGACCUCAUCUUUUUCCGCCACAUGGGGAUUGGUGGCUGUGCUUGGGACAGGGUUUAAAUUCCCGAAGGUCACAGAUGUCAGGCAGUCAGGGGACAAGGGCAGAAAGACAGAGCUUCUGGGAGCCAACUGACUGGAGCUGCUGCUGGGAUCACUAGGAGUGCUCUUGCUGCAGCUGACUCCUCCAGCACCAGAAAAGGUAAAACAUCACAAUGAAGGUGGCAGUUCUGUGUUUAUGCCUUAUCAGCAUCACCGCUGCAUGGCCAGUCAGUAAAUCCAAGCAGCAGGCCAUUUCUGCCAGCUCCGAAGAAAAAUAUG